AAAGCGAGGCAGUGAUGUCUCGUUGAGUGAUGCAGGAGUCAGCCGAGGCCAUAGUAGCGGCGCAAGCCGUGAAGGGC
rfam:Lactobacillus manihotivorans DSM 13343 = JCM 12514 strain DSM 13343 NODE_40, whole genome shotgun sequence.